ensembl:lncRNA
GAAUUAGGGAGAGGACACAGGGCAUGGCCAGGGCACUUCCACCAGCCCACAGCAACCAGAAACUGCAGGGCUGUGUCCCUGGGGAGCACUGCAGGCUGCUGAGACUGAGCAGAUUUCAGCAGGCCCUGCGCACCAAGGCAGAUGCUUAAGUACACAGUCCCAUAAAGAAAUUCUUCUUAAAAAUCCCAAUCUUGAGCCAAGAAGCACAGGAGACGAUCCUGCUUCACACGCUGCUGAAAGAAACUCUUUGGCCAAAAUUGCUCUGGCUGUUUUUCUGCGCUCCAGUAAACCUGGCUGCUGUCUCCGUCCUGCAGAUGACUUCAUUUCGGUAGAUUUCUCAGCCCAGGCUCUCUCUGCCUCAAAAGCAAUUGUUUGUGCUGCAGUUGGAAAAUGUGUAUCAUCGCAGUCACCUUUUUUCCACUGCAGAGUAAUUAAUCAAUACUUCUCAUGGAGAGGAGUCAAUUCUCGUUAAGCUGGGGGCUUCGCAGUGUUGCCGUUUGGUUUUUCUUUUGCAGAAGAGCUGUGACAUACCCAAAAGCCACUUUGUGCUCACGCUGUGGGCUGUGCUUGGUUGGGGAUGCACCAGGGUGAGGGCAAAGUCCGCAUUGCAGGAAGCGUUUGGAAGUGCAGCGCUCAGCAUUGGUGCCAAGUGAAUGGAGGACACAUCUGAGCACUCAACGUGAAUAGGUUUUAAGUCUAAUUCCAGCAGAAGAUUUCUGCCUGUGCCAGAUGUGGUUUUCAGAUGCUGCACUGUGGCUUUGCUGCAUUCCUGGCCCACUGCAGCCAAGCAGACCCCUGGAGCCUUGCCAGAGAGGGAGAAGGUAAGCAAGAUCCCAAGGUGCCCCUCUCAACUGGAUGAUGCAUUUCAGCUUUGCUUCCAAGCCUUCCAGAAGGCACCAGCCCCUCUGCCCAGGUAUUAUUCUUGGGCACUCUCAAAAUAGCUGCCUUUGCCUGGGAAUCAGAGAGGAGAGCUCAGUGAGUCCCCCUGAAUCUCCAGCUGCAGUAAUAUGUUGUUAUGAACCUCUACCAGAGCACUCGUAGUGCAGCUGGAGAGUCUGUCUGACAUUGCCUCCAGUGACCUUUUCGCUAUAGUCCAAGUGCUGUGGAGCUGGUGUUUCAAGAGGAAUUCAAAUGGAAUUUACUCAGGCAGAAAGGAUUGGCCUGGGGAUAGCCCUUCUACAGCUUCUGGUUCUCCUUGUCAUUCUCAUGGAAAUUGCAAUUCUUUAUGCAUGGUGCUUCUUCCUGCACCGCAGCAAAUGCGUCCCUUCAAGCAGCAGGCUGCUAACAGAGGGGCUCCAAAAUGAAGGCAUAACCCAUUACAAGGUCACAACGUGGCCAUGAGCCCUGACACCAAAACUGGCUGGUGGACAUCAGGCACCCGCCUCGAGUUCCAGGAUGCAGCUUGUUUACGUGGGAUGCGAGCAGCAGGGAUUUGUGUAAGCUUCGGGGCAUGGGG